GUGAUAUGGAAGCUGGGCUAGCAGGCAUCAUCACCGGGUUCUACUGCUGGGGCUGGGAGUUCCUCACUGCCCUCCUCCUCUUCUCCUCCUGCUGAAUCAUUCCUCCUCUUCCUCCUUUUUCUUUUAUUUUCAGUUUUGGGUUGCCGUAUUUCUUGAGAGAAUAUGACCAAACAACAUAGUGGCGCCGGGCCGGCGCCGUUUCUGACGAAGACGCAUCAGAUGGUGGAGGAAGCGGUGACGGACGAGGUGAUAUCGUGG
rnacentral:misc_RNA from 1 species